UGCCUUUAACACUCAGCAGAAGCCCAAGGCAUUCAUCUUUGCACUUCAUAAGAAGAGACAGCAGCAACUGGGACCACUUUCUCUUUUUGAGAAUGGGACUGAUUUCUGAGGCAAAGGGAUGGGAUCAUUAGAAAAGGAAUCUCAGAGGGAAGAUCGAAGAGGAGGACAGCAGAAACCUGAGGAGACAGAGAGCAAGAACUGAGCUGUGGGACGCUUACCCUCAUGAUAUU
rnacentral:lncRNA from 1 species